rnacentral:lncRNA from 1 species
GAACACCAUCUUUCUCUCAAUGCAUUUUCACAGAGAAUUUGCCUGCCCAUAACACACACCUUCCCCAAAAUCCUGCCUUCUCUCAUACUCCCAACCAGGGCACCUCACCAACUCCAUCACAACCUCCAUAACUCCAAGUUCUUCACUACUCAAGUAUUGCCUGCUCUUGGAAGUCUUCUCUGAAAAGUCAAUCUGAGUCAAGAGUCCCCACUGCUAGAUGAUCUAAUAGGCCCAUCAUGUGCUAAUGGCACCAACUAGGAAAGGCACGAAAAAGAUGCAGAUUUUUUAACUUGUCAACUCAGAAUUCAUCUGAUUUUGAAAAAGAAAAAUCUUUUACUUGGAGACAAAGGCUUGUUUUCCUCCUGCAACACAAAAGGCUUUUAGUCCACCUACCCACCAUUAAUAAGCUGGUAUGCAAAGAAGAACGCAACUUGGUUAAUUGUUGAAAUAGAAAACAUAAUUAGAAAAACUAUCCACAUGACUUAUUCCACAAUCUACUUCAUUUAAUGGAUAAAACAUAAGCUUCCACCCAUUACUCAAGCCAU